rnacentral:lncRNA from 13 species
GAGAGAGAGUGUGUAUUUUGUUCCAUCUGGUGCUCCACUCCCACACACUGCUAGACCAUAUAAAACAAUAGAACAGUAUCUCACUCUUUCUCUCUUUCUCUCUCUCGCUCCAAACCACCAUACUACACAACUACUUCUACAGUACCAUCAGUUUCCAUCUUUCUGUAACGUAAUGCCAUUGUAACGUAACGCCGUUGUAACGUAACGUAACGCCAUUAAAAGUCAUGUUAUUGUAACGAACUGUGAUUGUAGUGUAAAGUUAUUGUAGCGUAAUGUGAUUGUAACGUAAUGUGACUGUAAAGUAAUGUGAUUGUAGUGUAAAGUGAUGUGAUUGUAGUGUAAAGUGAUGUGAUUGUAACUUAAUGUGAUUGUAAUGGUAUUGUAAUGUGAUUGUAACGUAAUGUGAUGGUAACGUAAUGUGAUUGUAGCGUAAUGCGAUUGUAAUAUCAUUGUAACAUGUGAUUGUAGCGUAAUACGAUUGUAAUGUCAUUGUAACGUAAUGUCAUUGUAACAAUGUGAUUGUAGCGUAAUGUGAUUGUAAUGUCAUUGUAACGUAAUGUCAUUGUAACAAUGUGAUUGUAGCGUAAUGCGAUUGUAAUGUCAUUGUAAUGUAAUGUGAUUGUAACGUAAUGUGAUUAACGUUAUAUGAUUGUAAUGUCAUUUUAAUGUAAUGUAAUGUGGGCGUGAUUGUAUUGUAGGAGGCUGUGCAGCAGUGGUACCAGCACUACCAAGCCCAGAGCUACAGCACCGCCCCACAGGAGAGCCAAGCUAAGGACUAUAGCAAGGAGCACACACAGCAGGCUGUGGCAGCGGCGGUGCCAUCCUAUGGGGAUUACAGCUCUUACAUGCAGGCUGUCAGUCAAUACUACUGUCAGCCUCCGAUGACCCAGCCACCUCCCCAGGUCUACCAGCACAGAGACCCUACCAAGGAGGCUGAUGUGUGUAAGUCGCUGGGUGUGUCUCUCCAUGCAGUCAGUAACGGCGGUGCCCAGUCGGUGCUGCCCGCCGCGGUCCUGCCAGCCUACAGCACCAUGCCUAUGAUGUCAGGCUUCAUGGCCGCGCCACCUCACGCCACACACCCACCCAGCUCCACCACACACAUCCAGAGUGCCCACACCACCAAUGAAUGGAAUCAGUACUACUACAAUCAGACGACUCGGGGGCAGAAGCGGGAGUACCCUCACUUGGCCGUGCACAAUAUGACAUCAGAGGGGGCGUACGUGGGUCAGCACUCCCAGGGGCUGGGGGGUCAGUACGCUGACUACUUCAAGAAGAAGAGGAUCUAGAGAUGACCUCUGAACCCCUGCACCCUAUCUCCUAAACCAUACAGUACAUACACAGUCUCAGCUUUAGUGUUGUAUUUUGUUGGUAUACACACAGACACACACAAGGCAGACUGACACACACACACACACUAUGUUGCUUUUGUCCUGUUAAAGCCUUAACUCAGUUGGUGUAAAUGUUUCUUGACUAAUAAUGGACAUUGUUUCUAAUGUAUGUGAGCUGCUUCUGUAUGUUAGGGUCAGUCAGUCUGCCUUGUUGGAGGCCAGUCAGUGUGUAGUCAGGUUUCCCUCUCUUUCUGUUUGAAUCACUCUGUUUCUAAUCUCUCUGUGCACUUUUCUACAAACGGGGGAAACUGGCCAGUGUUGCAGACAGAGUUGAUUUGAUGACUCACUUUAACUGACGUGUUUUUCUCUUCAGUGUCUUUCUCUUUUUCUGAUUGCCUAAGCUCUCCUUUUAUCUCUCUCUUUGUGGAGACCUUGAUGUAGUGUGUGCGUGCGUGCGUGUUGUGUCGUAAGUGUAGGAGUGAUCAGCCAUUCACAGGGUAGAAGAAGGCAGGGCUACCCUGGAAACUCAGAGACACAGGGUGAGGGAUGUCUCAUCACUGCUUUUAACCUUGAACAAUGGACACUUAUAGACUCCUAUUGGUGUGGUGUACUAGGAAAUGAAUGGACACCUAACUUGGUACCUUAUAGACAUGACAAUAGUCACUGAGUGGACACCUCUUUGGGUCGAUAUAGCCAUGUAUUAUAACUAGCUAGUGGAUGGACAUUUCCAAGACCUAGGCCUUCUUCUUAUGGCUCUGUGUAUGAUAGCUACAGGGUGGAAACCUUUUUACUGUUUAUAAUGGCUGUCGUUUUCUGUAGGGGCCAUUGAACAGUGGCUCAGUCGAGGAACAGAAGGCUCUUCUUUUUCUGCUGUUUUUUAAAUGACUUUUCUGGACGGGAAGCGCUGUGGAGACACAAACCAACCAACUUUAAUACUGCUUCAUAAACUGCCAUUAGAAAUGAAACAGGAGAGUAGCCAUGUUGAAUUAUCUCAGAGUAAUUUCCAUUUGGAUUCAGUCAAUUCAGAAAGUAAAAGAUGACCGUCAAUUUUCAUCAAGCCAUGAAUCAAAUUUAAAUGAAUCACCUUGAGAUUUACGUGGUACAGCAGGGGUAGGCAACCCUGUUCCUGGAGUGCUAAAGGUAUUGUAGGAUUUUAUUCCAACUAGGCACCACACCUGACCAACUGAGCUAAUUGAUCAGUUCAGUGAUUGACUAAAUUAAACACACCUGGUCUUGCAGGUCGGUUACAUCAAAAACGUGCCUGCGGCACUUCAGGACCAGGCUUGCCUACUACCCCUGUGGUAAAGUGAAAAAGCACUGAAACCCAACCCUUGUGGACUGACGGGGGGGUUUUAGAGGUACGGAGGGCAUGGGAUGAAGGCUUUAGCACCAUGUUAAGUACUGGCACAGGUCUUCAGCCUUAGACCCAGGCAAUAACAACAGCUACUGUACCAAUUAAUAUCACAAUGCCAACAUGAGGGCACACAAGGGCAUUGCCGCUCAAUGUGUAGUGUGCUACAAUCAAACUGUCAGUUUCUUUCUCUCUUUUCAUCUUUCUUCCUCUCCUUUUCUCUCUAUCUGAUCCCUAAUCUCUCUCUAAUCUAUCCGUUUUCAUCCUCCACUCUGAGUUGAAAAAGCGGCGUUCUCCUGUGUCACGUGACUUGAAAUACUGAUGUUUUUAGUGGUGUCCUAUAUCAUGCUCUUAACGGGCAAAGCUGUAACAUAUUUCAAACCCUUUCAGUGCUGUGUUACUGGCUUAGAGCCAUACUUUUACUUGUACUGUGUGUGUGUGUGUUUAUGUUGGACUUGGCUUUUCCAGCCAGUUGAUUGCUAGCUUCAACCACAUCUUUAAAAGGCAAUGCUUAGAAGUGUGUGUGUGUGUGAGAGAGAGACUGUAGGAAGCUGUCUCAGUGUCUGUAAAAGGCAGACCCAGGCAGGUCAUAAUGUCUGUCUGUAGUCAGGCACUUUAAGCCAGUCUGUGUUGUUUUAAUGGCCCUCUGGUGAUUUAAUUAGCCUUUUUUCUCUAAGCCAUUACCGGGUGUGCCACAGUGCUAUGCAGAGCUGUGCCUGUGUGUUUUCUGACCUGAUCAUAUUCCUUCUUUGCCUAUUAGCAGGUCCAUGUGUUUUUAAAGGAAUUCAUUGUACUGUAUGUAGUCUGAGUUUGUGUGAAUAAGUUGUGUAUGCAUUAAUAACCUGCUUUUGGCAGGNNNNNNNNNNCAAUCAAAAAGGUUAUUUAUUAUAAACCAAAAUCUAUUCACUUUAAACAAAGAAAAAGGAAUGAGGUGUGAAAGUAUCAUAAUGUAGGGUGUAUGUAAAGUGCAGGGAUGUGUGAAUAUGACUUAGUGAAAACUACGUAAAACUACAAAGGAACAAACAAAACAGGAUCAUACCUGGAGGAGCAGAGAGAGAGAAGAGUGGUUAUUGAAGCAGUUUAAAUACCCUGAGCCCAGGUGGCUCCAAUCACUAACGACCCUCCUCUGCCUGCAGGAGGAACCGCCCCUGCAAUGCAGAGGGGCCGUGACACNNNNNNNNNNACCUGGAGGAGCAGAGAGAGAGAAGAGUGGUUAUUGAAGCAGUUUAAAUACCCUGAGCCCAGGUGGCUCCAAUCACUAACGACCCUCCUCUGCCUGCAGGAGGAACCGCCCCUGCAAUGCAGAGGGGCCGUGACACACACCCCCCCCCCCCCUUCCCCUUAAAAUGAGGGUCCCACCCUCAACCCAAAUUUCGGCCCAACAUAUUCAAAACAAUAAAAAGUUCCCCAAAAAGGAACCCAGUCCCGGCUCCUAGCAGUAGCCCCGUGUCACCCAGCUGACUGUCCACCCCU